rnacentral:rRNA from 1 species
AACGAACGCUGGCGGCAUGCCUAACACAUGCAAGUCGAACGAGACCUUCGGGUCUAGUGGCGCACGGGUGCGUAACGCGUGGGAACCUGCCCUUAGGUUCGGAAUAACUCCCCGAAAGGGGUGCUAACACCGGAUAAUGUCUUCGGACCAAAGAUUUAUCGCCUUUGGAUGGGCCCGCGUUGGAUUAGCUAGUUGGUAGGGUAAAAGCCUACCAAGGCGACGAUCCAUAGCUGGUCUGAGAGGAUGAUCAGCCACACUGGGACUGAGACACGGCCCAGACUCCUACGGGAGGCAGCAGUGGGUAAUAUUGGACAAUGGGCGAAAGCCUGAUCCAGCAAUGCCGCGUGAGUGAUGAAGGCCUUAGGGUUGUAAAGCUCUUUUACCCGGGAUGAUAAUGACAGUACCGGAAGAAUAAGCCCCGGCUAACUCCGUG